GGUGGCGUGCCUAAUACAUGCAAGUAGAACGCUGAAGAGAGGAGCUUGCUCUUCUUGGAUGAGUUGCGAACGGGUGAGUAACGCGUAGGUAACCUGCCUUGUAGCGGGGGAUAACUAUUGGAAACGAUAGCUAAUACCGCAUAACAAUGGAUGACACAUGUCAUUUAUUUGAAAGGGGCAAUUGCUCCACUACAAGAUGGACCUGCGUUGUAUUAGCUAGUAGGUGAGGUAACGGCUCACCUAGGCGACGAUACAUAGCCGACCUGAGAGGGUGAUCGGCCACACUGGGACUGAGACACGGCCCAGACUCCUACGGGAGGCAGCAGUAGGGAAUCUUCGGCAAUGGGGGCAACCCUGACCGAGCAACGCCGCGUGAGUGAAGAAGGUUUUCGGAUCGUAAAGCUCUGUUGUAAGUCAAGAACGAGUGUGAGAGUGGAAAGUUCACACUGUGACGGUAGCUUACCAGAAAGGGACGGCUAACUACGUGCCAGCAGCCGCGGUAAUACGUAGGUCCCGAGCGUUGUCCGGAUUUAUUGGGCGUAAAGCGAGCGCAGGCGGUUUGAUAAGUCUGAAGUUAAAGGCUGUGGCUCAACCAUAGUUCGCUUUGGAAACUGUCAAACUUGAGUGCAGAAGGGGAGAGUGGAAUUCCAUGUGUAGCGGUGAAAUGCGUAGAUAUAUGGAGGAACACCGGUGGCGAAAGCGGCUCUCUGGUCUGUAACUGACGCUGAGGCUCGAAAGCGUGGGGAGCGAACAGGAUUAGAUACCCUGGUAGUCCACGCCGUAAACGAUGAGUGCUAGGUGUUGGAUCCUUUCCGGGAUUCAGUGCCGCAGCUAACGCAUUAAGCACUCCGCCUGGGGAGUACGACCGCAAGGUUGAAACUCAAAGGAAUUGACGGGGGCCCGCACAAGCGGUGGAGCAUGUGGUUUAAUUCGAAGCAACGCGAAGAACCUUACCAGGUCUUGACAUCCCGAUGCUAUUUCUAGAGAUAGAAAGUUACUUCGGUACAUCGGUGACAGGUGGUGCAUGGUUGUCGUCAGCUCGUGUCGUGAGAUGUUGGGUUAAGUCCCGCAACGAGCGCAACCCCUAUUGUUAGUUGCCAUCAUUCAGUUGGGCACUCUAGCGAGACUGCCGGUAAUAAACCGGAGGAAGGUGGGGAUGACGUCAAAUCAUCAUGCCCCUUAUGACCUGGGCUACACACGUGCUACAAUGGUUGGUACAACGAGUUGCGAGUCGGUGACGGCAAGCUAAUCUCUUAAAGCCAAUCUCAGUUCGGAUUGUAGGCUGCAACUCGCCUACAUGAAGUCGGAAUCGCUAGUAAUCGCGGAUCAGCACGCCGCGGUGAAUACGUUCCCGGGCCUUGUACACACCGCCCGUCACACCACGAGAGUUUGUAACACCCGAAGUCGGUGAGGUAACCUUUUGGAGCCAGCCGCCUAAGGUGGGAUAGAUGAUUGGGGUG
rnacentral:rRNA from 1 species